UAAGCUACGUUUCAUUUAUUUUAUAGCUAAACACCAGAAUAUUUAAAAACCAGGAGGUGACAUUUUUAUUCUUUCAGAACAAUUUUACCACCUGAACAGUGGAUUUUUAAAUAAAAGAGGAGAAUUUCCACGUUUCCUCGAAGCAGAGCAAUGGCUUUAACACCAAGACAGGCUUUUAUUUUCGAAGUUCUUGGUGUAAUCGUAAACUGUAGUGUUCCUCUCUUUACACUUUAUUUGGCAAGUCUACGACUUAUCUGGAGAUCUAUUCCUGAUGCUUUCCUUUCAUACAAAGAGAUGCAACAUUUACUGCUGAGAUACACUGACAUCAAGUCUGCGAACGAUAUCUGCGACGAACUCCGAAAACGUGAAUUCGACAGUUUUGACAUCAUUCAUCAACCAAGAACCCUGUUGCAUUAUUCUCGAUAUGUGUUAAGAAAAGCACUGAUGCUAAAUUCACAGCUGCCAGAUGGGAUUGAACUUCUUCGUUUGCCUGACCGAUUAAAAUCGUACAUGAGGUUAGAAUUUUAGAUUCUACAUAAAUGAAAAGUUUUACUGUUCCAGUAAAAAAAAAAAAAUCAAAGUAAAACAAUCUGAUUUUGUGCUUUAAAAAUUCUGCAUGACGUAUAAAGCGAUUUUAUUGUAAUAAAGAAACCUUCCUGAAGAAUGUAUCCAGAAAAAUUCCUACCUUUAUUUUUGCAACUUCAGGUCAUAUUCAUAUCAUAUUCUUCCAGUUACAAAAAUGCUAUAAGGACACUAUUCAUGUUAGAGCAUUUGUAAAUUAAGAUAAUAAGAAAAAUGACAAAAUCUGA